rnacentral:lncRNA from 1 species
ACAAACCCAUCUUCCUCUCAGUCAAUCCGCAAGCUUCAUCGGCGCCGGAUGCACCUCCACCAUCGACGCGAUUUUAAUCGGACCCCCAAGGAUCUGAUGACCCUUUGACCGGAGAGGCAAAGGAGGAAUGAAUCGACACCGAAUCAGUAAGCCAAUCCUUUCCCCACCUUUUGUAUUUUCAUGACAAAUUCAAAAUAGAGAAAGAAAAUAAAGAAAACGAAGAAGUAACAACCAAGAUUAAUGAACGAAUCGCUUUAGAGUAUAUUUGCUUCCGUAUUCAAAUGCUAUUUAAGCGUAAUAUAUGAAAAAGGAAGGAAAAUAAUCAGAUCUUAAAUCACCUCUUGAAAACUGCUUUUUUUCAAACUCUCUUUUGAUACCGAUUUUUUACUACUAUUUAUUAUUAUUGCUUCAAAAUAAGACAGAAAGAACACAUAAAAGCAAAGAAAAGGAACAACCUUUGGGGUUUGAAUUCGAUUUCUCUUUCAAAAUCGCCUCUUUUUUUUAGUAUUGGAUAUCUGUAUUCAAUGUGCGUACCUUCUCUUACAAUGAAAAUAAGGCUUUUAUAUAGCCGAAAAUAAAAAGAAAAAAAUACAAAGAAUUUCAUUUUCCGUUCUUUUUCUUUGCUGCUGUUUUUUGCUUUGUUUUUGCUUGUCCUUGCUGUUGUGUUUGUCUGUUUCUUUGCAGGUGCGGAGGUACAGGGCCAGCUGUGGCGUACGGCUCGUUGUUGUGGAGGCGUGGACGUGGCCGUGCUGGAGGGUUGCGGCUACUAGGGAAACCCUAGGUUUCUGUUUAGCUGAAGUUGUUUUAGUUUUGGGCAGUUUGG